CUAUAGUGUCAUUUGGGCCAUAACAGAGCAGAGCAAUCAAGUAACCUGUGUAGACUGCUGCUUCUAACAUCAUUCAUGAUUGCGAGAAGUCUUUAAUUAUUGGGAGCCUCUUCAUUACCUUCUGGAUUUCAAUCUUGGGAGUACAGGUUCCUGUAUCCAGUAUACCCUCUUGGCCUCCGGAAUGUGUUGCUGCUUCAGCUGUCAUUGAGAUUUUUCCUGAUCUUUUUCAAAUCAAGUAUGAUCCUGGCUACAGAUCUGUGCUUGUUAUGAUAGCCGAAGCUCUAAGCCUAUAGUUCUCGGAUAUUAUGUGCCUCAUUUGGUCGGACAUUCUCGCUUAUUAAUGGGUAUUCUGCGCCUUUGGAGAUUUACAAGCUCUUGGAACGCCAUGAAGAUUCUGGAAAUAGUGAGACCUCAUUUAUGUUCCCAAUUUAUCUUACUUGAGACACCAGAAUUUAACUGUUAAGCUAUAAUAAAUGACCUUUGGGUAGAUGAUGGAUUCCGAGGGUUCCUUCCACAUCUAUUCAAUUCUAGCUUGGGUGGGACUGCUGCUUCCCCACCUUGUUUGAACAACAAGAACAAGGUAUUCGAUAAGCAAUACAUUAUGCUCUCCCUCUCUCUGCUAGAUAUGUCGGCCCACAUUUGUUCAUGAUGCAAAAAUUAGUUUCUAUGAUGAACUUACCUGGAAGACCAUUAUGGAGACUCACCCUUCUGCAAAAAUCCUCGCUCUCAUUUUAUUAUCUAAGCAUCUGAGAACAUGAUUUGUAUCUGUAAGUGUUUUAAAUCUAGGCACCGUUUUCAAAAUAAAAGUGAAUAUCUAGGCACAAUUUGACUGCAUGAACCUAAAUGUUUCUGUUUUCAGGUUGUAGAUUGUUUGCUGCUUAUAUAUUCACUGCUCUGGAAAUCCUUGAAUCGUAUCCAGAUCUGGAUUGAGUCUGCAGACUCAACUUACUAGAUUUUAGUUUGUGUUGCUCUUAUAACCCUCAGUUGAAAUUACCGCCCAUACUUAUACUCUUGGUUUUCAGGGUUAACCGAACUUAGUUUAACUUUAAAUAUUACUUCCUAAAUUUUAUAAUUGGGCAUUUGUUCCAGCAAUGAAUUGCGGAUAUGUUGUGACACUGGUGUACUGUAUACAUCUCUGCCCAGGUUCCUGUAUCCAGUAUACCCUCUUGGCCUCUUGUAUGUGUUGCUGCUUCAGCUGCCAUUGAGAGCAUUCCUGAUCUUUUUCGAAUCGCCGAAGUUCUCAGCCUACAGUUUUUGGAGUCAUAUUAUGUGCUUCACAUGGUAGGACAUACUCGCUUAUUAGUGGGUAUUCUGCACCUUCGCGGAUUUGCAAGCAGUUGGAAUGCCAUGAAGAUUCUUGUAAGAAUUCCGUGGUUUGCGUUGGAAGCUGAAUGACAUCGGGUCGUCCUUCUGCAUUACUGAUUGCAUUAAUGAAAUUCGUUGGAUAGAUGAUGGAUUUCGAAGGCUCCUUCCACAUCCAUUCAAUUUUAGCUUGGGUUGGACUGCUGCUUCUCCACCUUAUUUCAACAGAAAGAACAAGGCUUCUGAUAAGCAAUACGCAAUAUUCGUUCUCUCUCUUUCGUCCUGUCUUACUGCUUCUGCUAGAUUUGUCGGCCCCCAUUGGUUCUUGAUGCAAAAAUUAGUUUGUACGGAGAUUUACUCUUCAGCAGAAAUCUUGGGUCUCAUUCUAUUAUUAUAGUAUCUGAGAACUUGUUUUGUAUCUCUGAAGUCUAAACGUUUUCAAGUAAAAACUAGGCACCCUUUCAAACAAAAGUGAAAAUCUAAGUACAGUUUAACAGCAUGAGCCCAAACGUUUCUGUUUUCAGGAUGUGGAUCAUUUUUGCUGCUUAUAUAUUUGUUCAAAAUCCAUGACUCAUAUGCAGAUCUGAAUGGAGUGCAUCAGACUCAACUUGCCAGAUCUUUGUCUAAAUGUUUUUUUUCAGAUAUUCAUGCUUUUUUAUUGCAGCUCAAUGGUCUUGAAGCCGCCUGUACCUUCCUCAUAGAAUUUUAACAGCUUUAUCCUUAUCGAGGAAGCGAUUUGCAUAAAUGGUCGUAGGUUGUUGCAGCACUAGUACCUUAUCUUGUCAGAGAACUCUCACCCAAGCACAGAUCUCUUCAUCCCAUAUCUGUGGCAGCAGAUGAAUGUACAAAUUGCUUCGAAGAAAUCCACUCUAAACAUGUGAUGAACAGAACAACAUGCGUUCUCCCUGAAUUUCAGACUAGCAACUGUGUUCUGUUCCACCUUUUGGUGCCUUGGUGCAUUUAGAAGAGCUGGAUGGAAAGGUAGUCUAACCUCCUUAACAUUGGGAAUGAUUUAAGGCAACCUAACAAGCUAUGGGUGUCUGCCCGAAACGAUUGAAGGCUGCCUAACAAGCUAUGCUGUCUGCCACUUUUGAAGUCUGAGACAAGGCUCCUUUUGUUGAUAUCCCUGAAAUAGUUAACUUCAAAACUUCAGUUGUAUGUAUUUUCUUCUUAACAUGUACUAGCAACUCUGUUGCUUAAUCAGGUCAAAGAUCAGUUUUUACACUUGAACUUUAUAAUGUUUGCUUUUUCCUUGGCUUUUUUAAUAUUA